AUUCAUGAAAAAUUUCAAGGCACCCCAAACCAACUAGCCGUAAUAUAGCAUCACAUCCGAUACCACACAAGCUUAGAAUGUAACACAUUUGGAGACACACAACCUAGUCGCACGACCUACGUUCAAAGUUGCAGCUGGGGUGACCAAUAUUUACUUUAUUGUGCGUAAAUGGCAGAUCAAAGAUUCCACUGACUAACAUUAACUUGUCAAUUUUGACAAAUAUGUUUUAUGUUAUAUAAUUUAUUUAUCAGCCACGUUUCCGCGGCACCCCUGAGGGGGCCCUACGGCACCCCAGGGUGCCCCGGCACCCCUGUUGAGAAACACUGCACUAAAUUAUGAUAUUCCUAUGUGUGCGCGCGCACGCGCCAAGUUUUCAAUUCAACACACUGGGACACUUUUCAGUCUUUGAGGUUGCUGGAAUCAACACAGACUACCUCCAUGCACCUUAUCAGAACACUUUGCAUGUUUUUUGUAUACUUGUCCCCUUUGUGUAUUGCUGCUAAUCUUUCUCUUUCUAGGUUCUGUUGGUUGCAUGCAGAUUGUGCCAGAUGAUUUAUCUGUCUAUGGUCUAAGCAUGGGCUCUGUGCUAAUAUGCAAUUUGUGCUCUUUUUUCCCUCAGGUCAACAGCAGACAGGGUCCUUCCACAACCACAUACUUAUGCCAGUAAAAGCCACAGCUUUUCUCCUCCAAUCCAAGAAGCCUGGACUGCAGUCACCAUCUCAACACACCAACCAAGAGAAAGGCGGAUGGCUCAAUUCAGUAUGUAGUUCUGCAAAUAUUCUCAAAGGUCUUCACAGCCCCCCAUGGUGCUGAAUGCAUUUACAUUUAUUUGUAUAUGGAAAAUUGCACAAUAAAAGUUCCAGGACAUGAAGGCUGCAUACUGUGAACGUCAACCUUCAGGGCACCGUCCUGCGCAGAAGACUUUCUACCCUAAGAGGGAUGGCUGACCGCAGACACUCACAACCAGCACAGACGCCUCCAACCUCAGACUAGGCCCUUCACAGUUGCUGCACUUACCCACCUUCCCAGAGUUUUUGUGUGGUAAUGACAACUGUAAAUAUAGUAUAAAGUAAUGUAUCUAGUGUCAUGUGUAAUACAUUGUUUAAAUUGUCCAUACAUUUCAAUGACAGUAAAUAUUGGUGGACACAAUUUGACUGUGUGGCUUUUUUUUUAAUUCAUUCUCUGACUGAAAAUGCAUGGUUACAUAAUUUAUAUAUUCCACAAGACCACAAUCAGAAGAUUAUUUGACAGGUUGCAUUUAUUUUCUAUGUAUGAAAAAAACAAUGGUAACAAGACAAACGUGGUUCCAAACCAAAAAGGUGAGAUGUACAGAUGAAUGCUCCUACAGAUAAUGAAAAAUAAUAAAACUCUGCACACUGCCGGUUUGUGUGUUUUAUACCGUACUCUGUAUAAACCUUUUAUAUUGCUCUAGUGCAGUGUUUCCCAACCAGGGGUACGUGUACCACUAGGGGUACGCGAGCACACUUCAGGGGGUACUUGGUAAAAUGAAAUUUUAUCAAAUGCAUGGAACAUAGUAAUAGCAUAAUGUAAUGUAAUGUAACAUAGUCACAUUGGGAUAGAGAAAGUGAUAUAGAACAUGAGUUACAGGGUACUCAUGGCACAAAGGCUUAGGGGGUACUCGAGACAAAAAAG